AGGGGAAUUGGUUAAGAAUUAGCUGCUAACUAAAUCCUUAAGCGGUUCAACUCCGUUUUUCCCUUC
rnacentral:tRNA from 1 species